AAGAAGAAAAAGAAAAAAAAAAUAUAGGAAAAGUUGAGAGGGGCAAAUAGGUAAAUUUGCCCCUCCAACCACCUAAGGGGUCCAAACGAAACCCCAUCCAUAAUCUUGCAAAAGAGAGAUAGUGAGAGAAAGGGGUAGAGAGAACCUAGAGAGAGGAGAAAGGAUGAACCGCCGGAAGACUCACCGAAACCUACUGUCGGAGUCUAUUCCGGUGAACAUCAUGUUGCAAGGAGGUGAAGAUCAUGCAGAGAGACUUUCUUGGAAGGGAAAAGAGAAUGUGGAUGGCCGGAGUCCCAUUUUUCAUCAAGAAGUCGAAAAACCCGCAAGAAACAACUCUACGCAUGAUCUGUGAAGAAGUUUGGCCGAGACCUCAACCCGAAGGCGGAGAUCCGAGAGUCGUCUGAGAACGGGACCUAAUUUAAAGAAAUCAGUACUUUUGGACACCUC